UGAUGACGAGACGCUAAGGCGUUGAAGCAGUGUAUGUCAGACUUCCAAGAAAAGCUUGCACUGUCAGAAACAGAUGAUGCCUGUACCAUAACCGACACAGGUGGGUAGGUAGAGUAUACUAAGGGGCGCGAGAUAACUCUCUCUAAGGAACUCGGCAAAAUGACUCCGUAACUUCGGGAGAAGGAGUGCCUUAUUUAUAAGGUUGCAAUAACAAGAUCCAAGCAACUGUUUAUCAAAAACACAGGUCUCCGCUAAGUCGUAAGACGAUGUAUGGGGGCUGACGCCUGCCCAGUGCCAGAAGGUUAAAGAAGUUGGUUAGUGUAUGCGAAGCUGAUGACUGAAGCCCUGGUGAACGGCGGCCGUAACGAUAACGGUCCUAAGGUAGCGAAAUUCCUUGUCGGGUAAGUUCCGACCCGCACGUAAGGCGUAAUGAUUUGGAUACUGUCUCGGAGAGAGGCUCGGUGAAAUAGACUUGUCUGUGAAGAUGCGGACUACCUGCACCAGGACAGAAAGACCCUAUGAAGCUUUACUGUAACUUGAAAUUGGAAUUGGACUUUGCUUGCGCAGUAUAGGUGGGAAGCGUUGAAAAUAUUCUUGCGGGAGUAUUGGAGCUAUCAGUGAGAUACCACUCUUGUAAUGUUAGAUUUCUAACUUUGAACCAUAAUCUGGUCAAAGAACAGUUUCAGGUGGGCAGUUUGACUGGGGCGGUCGCCUCCCAAAUGGUAACGGAGGCGUACAAAGGUUUCCUCUGAACGGAUAGAAAUCGUAUCUAGAGUGUAAAGGCAUAAGGAAGCUUGACUGUGAGACCUACAAGUCGAGCAGGGACGAAAGUCGGUCUUAGUGAUCUGACGGUACUGAGUGGAAAGGCCGUCACUCAACGGAUAAAAGUUACUCUAGGAUAACAGGCUGAUCUCCCCCAAGAGUUCACAUCGACGGGGAGGUUUGGCACCUCGAUGUCGGCUCAUCGCAUCCUGGGGCGGUAGUACGUCCCAAGGGUUGGGCUGUUCGCCCAUGAAAGCGGUACGCGAGCUGGGUUCAGAACGUCGUGAGACAGUUCGGUCCAUAUCCGGUGUAGGCGCUAGAAUAUUGAGAGGAGCCUUCUUUAGUACGAGAGGACCGAGAAGGACACACCGCUGGUGUACCAGUUAUCGUGCCAACGGUAAACGCUGGGUAGCUAUGUGUGGAGUGGAUAACCGCUGAAAGCAUCUAAGUGGGAAGCCCACCUCGAGAUGAG
rnacentral:rRNA from 1 species